CAACUUACCAUUCCGAAGAGGUUCUUAGUCUCGCUAACUCCUCCGAAGAUUGGGGAAAGAGGUCCUGGAGGCGAGGUUACCAUUGCAAUAAAUAUCGUGGACCCAAAGAGUUUUGCAGAAAAGUGAUUUAUUAGAGAGAGAAGAAAGACAGCUCCUACGCUAUCAUUCCAGGAGACCUAGAGAAGGUAAGGAGCAGCUGAAUUUUAACCCUUGAGUUAUUCCUGCCCUUUCAUGUUCUUGUCCAAUGAGAGGAGUUCUUUCAACUGCCUCUGGAGUGAUUGAUCUUUGACUCUGACAUUGGAUUGGCUACUUGGUCCACGACUGAGAGUUACAGAGCCCCCUCCUCCCGGAGCUUUCCACGGGUUUCUUGGGACAAUAGAGCCCACCUGGCUUUCCCCAGCUAGCGGGCAAGUGGAGAAACCCAGACAAAGAACUUUACAUUUGAAACCCCUCUGCUUCCUAGAUGAAGACGUGGAGGCUGGGAAACUCCUGCCUUUGAAACCAAGCCUCUUGGACCCAGGAAGAGUCUGGUUCCCGGAUGGAGGCAUGGAGCCAUGGAGAAGUCCCUGUAGGUACAGUAGACCCUUGAACAACAUGGGUUUGAACAUCGUGGGUUCGAUUAUAGUCAGAUUUUCCUCUGCCUCAGCUACCCCUGAGACAAUAAGACCAAUCCCUCCUCUUCUUCCUCCUCGGUUUCUUCAACAUGAAGAUGACAAAGAUGAAGACCUUUAUGAUGAUUCGUUACCACUUAAUGAACGAAAAGCUGCAUAGAGGAGAACAGCCUCAGAUGAGACAGCAGUGGUUUGGCUUCAAGUGACAAGGAUAAUUUACAUCAGUUUACAAAUUAACUAUCAGUAUGAUAAACAUGAAGCCAGUCAGUCUGCAACAUGGGAUAUUAUUAAAUAACUGUCAUCUUGUAAUAUGUUUAAAUUGGUUAAUUUGUUUCAAUUCAUUAAUUUUUAAAUUAAUCAGUUCUAUAUGUUCUUUUGAAAAAAAAUCUGUAAGGAUUUUCCUGCAGCUCAACAUUGCCCUCCUAUGGAUUAAAAGCCAUCAUGUGGUAUUUCAAAGUUUAUAAAAUAAAUAGGAAAAUUUUACUCCUAUGGCA
rnacentral:lncRNA from 13 species